GUCGGACUUCGGUCUGGCGAGUAGCGUGGCGGAUGGGUGAGUAACACGUGGGUAAUCAACCUUUAAGUGGGGAAUAAGCUCGGGAAACUGAGUACAAUACCGCAUGUUAUCUUUGUAUCGCAUGAUAUAGAGAUCAAAGCCUUAGGGCGCUUAGAGACGAGCCCGCGACUUAUUAGCUUGUUGGUGAGGUAAUGGCUCACCAAGGCUACGAUGAGUAGCUGGUCUGAGAGGAUGAUCAGCCACACUGGGACUGAGAUACGGCCCAGACUCC
rnacentral:rRNA from 1 species